rnacentral:rRNA from 1 species
AAUAUUGGGCAAUGGGGGCAACCCUGACCCAGCAACGCCGCGUGAAGGAAGAAGGCUUUAGGGUUGUCCCCUUCUUUGACGAGGGACGAUAGCGACGGUUCCUCGAAAACAAGCCACGGCUAACUACGUGCCAGCAGCCGCGGUAAUACGUAGGUGGCAAGCGUUGUCCGGAUUUACUGGGUGUAAAGGGCGCGUAGGCGGGAUUGCAAGUCAGAUGUGAAAUCUCCGGGCUCAACCCGGAAAUUGCAUUUGAAACUGUAGUUCUUGAGUAUCGGAGAGGCAAGCGGAAUUCCUAGUGUAGCGGUGAAAUGCGUAGAUAUUAGGAGGAACACCAGUGGCGAAGGCGGCUUGCUGGACGACAACUGACGCUGAGGCGCGAAAGCGUGGGGAGCAAAC